CUUGGUCAUUUAGAGGAAGUAAAAGUCGUAACAAGGUUUCCGUAGGUGAACCUGCGGAAGGAUCAUUACCGAGUUCAUGCCCUCACGGGUAGAUCUCCCACCCUUUGUAUACCAUACCUUUGUUGCUUUGGCGGGCCGCCUAGCUACUGGCUUCGGCUGGUAAGUGCCCGCCAGAGGACCCAAAACCCUGAUUAUUAGUGUCGUCUGAGUAAAAUUUUAAUAUUUAAAACUUUCAACAACGGAUCUCUUGGCUCCGGCAUCGAUGAAGAACGCAGCGAAAUGCGAUAAGUAAUGUGAAUUGCAGAAUUCAGUGAAUCAUCGAAUCUUUGAACGCACAUUGCGCCCCUUGGUAUUCCGAGGGGCAUGCCUAUUCGAGCGUCAUUAUCACUCCUCAAGCUUCGGCUUGGUGUUGAGGCCCGCUGUAAAGGCACCCUCUAAAAUCAGUGGCAGUGCUGUCAGGCUCUAAGCGUAGUAAUUUCAUCGCUAUAGGGUCCUGGUGGAUACUCGUCAAAACCCCCCCAUUUUUUAAUGAUUGACCUCGGAUUAGGUAGGGAUACCCGCUGAACUUAAGCAUAUCAAUAAGCGGAGGAAAAGAAACCAACAGGGAUUGCCUCAGUAACGGCGAGUGAAGCGGCAAAAGCUCAAAUUUGAAAUCCGGCUCUUUUAGGGUCCGAGUUGUAAUUUGUAGAAGAUGUUUCGGGUGUGGCUCCGGUUUAAGUUCUUUGGAAUAUUACAUCAUAGAGGGUGAGAAUCCCGUAUGUGACCGGCAGCCUUCGCCUAUGUGAAACUCUUUCGACGAGUCGAGUUGUUUGGGAU
rnacentral:sRNA from 1 species